CGGGAGAUGGGGCCUGCAACAUCACAGGGACAGGACAGCAAGCCUGGGCAGUGCGGCCGCGCCGCGCACGCGUGGAUGUACAGAACGUUUAGGGGGCGUGCACAUGCGCGACCGGGCACCGGAAGCUGCCUCCCAGGGCCACCCCCUAUGUCCCAGGGCAAGUCCCAGGACUACAUUUCCCAAAGGUCAACGCGCCGCUCCUGAAACAGCCACUGAAAUGCUUGUCCCUGACUUGACCGUUAACUGAUGCUCAACUGCAAGUACUUGCCCCUCGAACUGUGAACUCAAGUGCGUCCGUACUGGAGAGUUUCCCAUCCAGAUGCGUGCUAGUGUUCCUGGAAAGGUGGCCGAGGAAGGUAGAAGUGGCGGGGCCCCAGCCGCCAAGUCCCAAAAGGAAGGAAUGGCUUCUGGCUCACAACAGGUCCAGACAUGGUGCUUGUGGAGCUUUGUUUGGGGACCAAAGCAGGAGCUGACUUUCCUUGUCCCUAUCAUCUAACCGACAGGCCCCUGCCAGCUUUGCACUCUGGGUCUCUCUGCACUGCAGUGCAGGCCACGCCUCCCGCUCCAAGGCCCUUUGCAGGUGAAGAGUCAGUCACCAUCAGUGCUCAGGGUCCAGCGAGGGAGUCAAGGGACCACCACGCCAUGGCGCAGCAAGACCACCUGACAGCACGCAAGAUGGGACAGAAAAGCCAGCAUGCAUGGUGGAGUGGCCCUUGGUGUCUCGACUGCUGCUGUUGCUGAAGAA